rnacentral:rRNA from 1 species
ACGUAGGGGGCCAGCGUUGUCCGGAAUUACUGGGCGUAAAGCGCGCGCAGGCGGUCUGGUAAGCAGUGGGUGAAAUUCCAGGGCUCAACCCUGGGGCUGCUCGCUGAACUGCCAGACUAGAGUUCGGGAGAGGGCAGUGGAAUUCCUGGUGUAGCGGUGGAAUGCGUAAAUAUCAGGAGGAACACCCGUGGCGAAAGCUGCUGCCUGGAACGAUACUGACGCUGAGGCGCGAAAGCUAGGGGAGCGAACGG